GUGUCAGCAGCCGCGGUAAGACGUAGGAUGCGAGCGUUGUUCGGAUUUAUUGGGCGUAAAGCGUACGUAGGCGGCUUUUUAAGUCUGGUGUUAAAGCUAGGGGCUCAACCCCUGUGAUGCACUGGAAACUGGGAAGCUUGAGUGUGGUAGGGGAAGGUGGAAUUCCGAGUGUAGCGGUGAAAUGCGUAGAUAUUCGGAAGAACACCGGUGGCGAAAGCGACCUUCUGGGCCAUUACUGACGCUGAGGUACGAAAGCUUGGGGAGCGAACGGGAUUAGAUACCCCGGUAGUCC
rnacentral:rRNA from 1 species